UACCAAUAAUUGAGAUAACAUC
rnacentral:miRNA from 1 species